ACAACUCCUGAUAUUGCCAAUAUUUAGUUCAAUUGUGAGAUUUUUCCAUGUGGUCUGUAGGGAGAUGAACCUAUGAUUUGAAUGAUACGAAUCAUUUUUGUCUGCCUAUUCGCUUUGGAGUGCCAGGAUCAGUAAGAGAAGAAACAGGUUUAAAGAUUUUUAGUUCAUCAGCAAAGAGAAGUAAAUUUAUGUCAUUAAGCACAGAAUAAAUGUCAUUUAUAAAAACAAGAAACAAAAGAUGCCCUAAGCAAGAGGCCUGUGGAACUCCCGAAAUAAGAGUGAAACCAACAGAGAAGACUACCAUAAAAACUAUAUGCCUCCAACUUUGUAAUCAAAAUAUCAUGAUGGACAGAGUCAAAUGCUUUU